UAUCAGCAGCCACCGGCAGCACACUGCGCUGCAGCGGAAAGCCCGAACAGGACGGCCGGGUAGUCCGCUGUGGCGUUGACAGCAGCUUUGACAGGCGGAAACACACCGGGAAUGAGCGCUGUUUGUGGGGGGAAAUCAGCAGAACGAACACCGCUAACCCUUCACUGUAAAAUAUAUGAAAGAUAACGCUGUAAGCCGGCUUGUCUCCUCUGAAAAUCCUCUGAAAAGUCCGGAGAUGUGCGCGAUAUGUGGUCUGCAGACAGACUGUGACUGCAGGAAGAAAGGUUGAAACCUCCACUGGGGAUGAACUGCAGUAAGCUGAUUCUGGCUCAGUGUUACACAACGAUUCUGACUGAAAAGGCAAUCAAUCUGGUGGGCUGCACUGCCGACUUGCUGCAUCACAACAAACGCCACCAAUC
ensembl:lncRNA